UGCCAGCAGCCGCGGUAAUACGGAGGGUGCAAGCGUUGUUCGGAAUUACUGGGCGUAAAGCGCGUGUAGGCGGCCGACUAAGUCUGAUGUGAAAGCCCGGGGCUCACCCCCGGAAGUGCAUUGGAAACUGGUAGGCUCGAGUCCCGGAGAGGAGGGUGGAAUUCCUGGUGUAGCGGUGAAAUGCGUAGAUAUCAGGAGGAACACCGGUGGCGAAGGCGGCCCUCUGGACGGUGACUGACGCUGAGACGCGAAAGCGUGGGGAGCAAACAGGAUUAGAUA
rnacentral:rRNA from 1 species